rnacentral:lncRNA from 1 species
AUGGCAUUUUGUUUGCAAAGCAAGAGACAUUGAUAGCUCCGCCCCAAAGAACUUUUAUCUGGGCAGCCAGUAAUUACAGCCUAAGUGAGGCUGAAUGGCACAGCUACCCUGAUAACCGCUGUUACUGUUUUCAGUCUUUCACUUGCCAACAAGAUCCUCUGGUCCCUUAUCUUGUUCUGGGGCCAACCCAACAAGAGCGGGAGAAGCUGAAAUUCUGACACUUUAAAGCACAGGACAUUGUGAACACGCUGGAAGGAGGGAGAAAACUGAAGCUGAGAGGCUAAAGAAUAAUAUGAAGCAAGAUAAAAGAGCUUCCCUGGUGGCUCAGACAGAGAGUUUGAUGGAUGCACUUAUCUACCUGUGGUUGGAGGGGACAGUCGGGACUAUGACAGACACAACUGCCUUGGCGUAUAUCCAGAGAAAAUUCCAAUUUGAAAAGACACCCACACCUCAAAGUUCAUAGAAGAAUUAUUUAUUAACACAAUAGCCAAGACAUGGUAGCAACCUAACUAUUCCUUGACAAAUGAAUGGAUGAAGAU